AGUGCCUGAGGGGGUAAGAGCCCUGUUGUUGUAAGAUAGUGUCUUACUCCCUCAGGCACAUC
rnacentral:pre_miRNA from 1 species